rnacentral:rRNA from 1 species
GAUGAACGCUGGCGGCGUGACUAAUACAUGCAAGUCGAGCGAGCGGCGGACGGGUGAGUAACAAGUGGAAACCUACCUAUAAGACGGGGAAAACUUCGGGAAAACGGAGCUAAUACCGGAGAAUUAUAGAUGGAUCCGCGUUGCAUUGGCUAGUUGUUAAGGUAACGGCUUACCAAGGCAACGAUGCAUAGCCGACCUGAGAGGUUGAUCGGACACACGGGAACUGCGACACGUGCCAGACUCCUACGGGAGGCAGCAGUGGGGAAUAUUGAACAAUGGGCGCAAGCCUGAUGCAGCCAUGCCGCGUGUGUGAAGAAGGCCUUCGGGUUGUAAAGCACUUUCAGCGAGGAGGCGUUACUCGCAGAAGAAGCACCGGCUAACUCCGUGCCAGCAGCCGCGGUAAUAC